rnacentral:sRNA from 1 species
AAAAUGGCGGCGGCGGCGGCGGCGGCGGCUGGUGCUGCAGGGUCGGCAGCUCCCGCGGCAGCGGCCGGCGCCUCGGGAUCUGGGGGCGCACCCUCAGGGUCACAGGGGGUGCUGAUCGGGGACAGGCUGUACUCCGGGGUGCUCAUCACCUUGGAGAACUGCCUCCUGCCUGACGACAAGCUCCGUUUCACGCCGUCCAUGUCGAGCGGCCUCGACACCGACACAGAGACCGACCUCCGCGUGGUGGGCUGCGAGCUCAUCCAGGCGGCUGGUAUCCUGCUCCGCCUGCCGCAGGUGGCCAUGGCUACCGGGCAGGUGUUGUUCCAGCGCUUCUUUUAUACCAAGUCCUUCGUGAAGCACUCCAUGGAGCAUGUGUCAAUGGCCUGUGUCCACCUGGCUUCCAAGAUAGAAGAGGCCCCAAGACGCAUACGGGACGUCAUCAAUGUGUUUCACCGCCUUCGACAGCUGAGAGAGAAAAAGAAGCCCGUGCCUCUACUACUGGAUCAAGAUUAUGUUAAUUUAAAGAACCAAAUUAUAAAGGCGGAAAGACGAGUUCUCAAAGAGUUGGGUUUCUGCGUCCAUGUGAAGCAUCCUCAUAAGAUAAUCGUUAUGUACCUUCAGGUGUUAGAGUGUGAGCGUAACCAACACCUGGUCCAGACCUCAUGGGUAGCCUCUGAGGGUAAGUGACUAAGACUUCUCCUCUGCUGUCCAAGCGCUUUGGUGCAGGGACAGCGGCGUCUUCAGCCAAUCCAGUGCAGGCUCUCCACCGAAGGCUGGCUCUAGACUGGUGGUACGCACAUAGCAUAGCCAUGGCCGACUCCUGCUGUGGUUCUCUGACGAUUGUGCUUCUUGUUAAUCCUCUGUCGUGCUUUGGUAAUCGUAUUGAUUAGAGUUGGUAACUGUCUUGACUUGAAUUUUGUCCCUUUAAAACUGCUGUACCUGUAUGAUAAAGAUGCAGUACCUUUCUCUUAAAAAAAAAAAUGGUAUGGAAAGCUGUGAGAAUUGAAGAGACAAAUUGGCUGUGUCAGUGUGGGGUUAUGUCAUGAUUUCUAGAAGCCCUGAAGUUGCUCUUUUCAGCAGCUUUGCAUGACACGCUCUGGUAAAAGGUGUGCAUCUUUAAAUUAUUUCAUGGAUACUUUGAAAAAUAUUGUAUCACUUCAAAUACAGCAAUAAGUUUAUAUGUUCUCAAGAUUUCAUUUGUUUUUAAGAAUUUAAAGUUCGUGGAUUCAUAUCACUACUUGAAUACUGACAGUUGUUGAUUAGACACCGAAAGGUUACUGAUUAUUGAAUGUAUCUGUGUUAGAGCUGUGCACUGGCACGCUUGCAUCAGGGGCUGGGGCCACACGGCCGCCACACAGAUUCCCCCGUGAUGCCUGGAGCUGCUUCCAGAGCCGGGUGUCUCCAAGAGGUACCUGUAGGACUUCCCAUUUAGAAAUCUCUGAGUGGGUUUGUAUGUUACCUUCUCCAAGGUUUAUUUAGGACAGAGAUAUUGCGGGAAGGUCAUGGGUCAGAUUCCCUCACGACCCACCUCGUCUGCGGGUGCAGCCCCACCCCAAGGCUCCCCGUUAUUGGGGUAUGUGAGGAGCAGUAAAUAUAAAACCAGUUCACCUGUCCUCAUGGAAUUACCCUUUCUAUUUUUGCAGUAUUCAUAAAGCUAGUAUAAGGUCUGGUUUUAGUCUAUUAAAUCUUAGAGAUCUAAAGGAAAUGCUCAAAAUGUAGCCAGGUUUUAAAUGCUUCAACUUUUAAAAAAUGUAAAUUUUUGUAUGUUUAUAGCUUCUAAAUAUGAAAGUUAAAGAAUGUACUGUGAUGAAAUGUUCAGUAUUAUGUUGCUUCUCAGUAUUGUGUUGCUUCUGAUUCUAUGAAUGUUCAUUUUAAGACCCCUUGUUGAAAUGGGACAGUUGGCAGCGGCUCUGGUGAGCCCGAGAAGAGGCCUGCCCUUGGGUGCGGAGUCUCCCUCCGCACGAUGCUCCCACGCGUCCAACUUGCACCCAAGGGGCUUUUCCCUCUUCCAAGUGGACUCCUUCAAGGAAGCUGCAGCUCGGUCAGCAGAGAAGGGGCCUGCCGCCAGCGCCCUGGAGGAAGAGGAAGAGGAACCCAAGAGGAUGGCUUGUCUCCCAGCAGCCACACCGGCUUUGUGCUCAGCCAGUUCAUUUGAGUUUGCAUGUUUCUCUGCACUAUGGAUUUUGAGCAUUUAGAUUUCUUUAAUCAAAAGCGUUUUAGUGACUCCAGUAGACAUUUUCUUUCUGAGGCAUCGUGCUUUGCAUGAGAGCAGGCCAAGGUUGAGGGGAAAAGUAAAGUUAAAGUCGGUUCUCUUUCAUAGCAACACGUAUUGUCUGACAUUCAGCCAGCUUUUUUUUUUUCUAAUAAUUUCUGUGCCUUCCUGUCCUGUAUUUACUGUAUUUAGAAAAAGCAGCUAGAAUAUUUCUCCAUUAACUCUUGAGAUUCACAGGACUGUCUAGCUCUGAGUCCUAGCAAUAGACUCCUUAGAGGGGUAGUACAUUUAUCUCGAUUUUCUCUAGAUAAUGCAGGCGGAAGACCUGGGUUCCCGGGUGGGGCAUUGCAGUUCUUCCUGUGUUUGGCUUCCAGGAAUUACAUGAACGACAGCCUUCGCACCGACGUCUUCGUGCGCUUCCAGCCAGAGAGCAUCGCCUGCGCCUGCAUUUAUCUUGCUGCCCGGACGCUGGAGAUCCCUUUGCCCAAUCGUCCCCAUUGGUUUCUUUUGUUUGGAGCAAGUGAAGAAGAAAUUCAGGAAAUCUGCUUAAAGAUCUUGCAGCUUUAUGCUCGGAAAAAGGUUGAUCUCACACACCUGGAGGGUGAAGUGGAAAAAAGAAAGCACGCUAUCGAAGAGGCAAAGGCCCAAGCCCGGGGCCUGUUGCCUGGGGGCACACAGGUGCUGGAUGGUACCUCGGGGUUCUCUCCUGCCCCCAAGCUGGGCUGGAGUGCAAUGGCGCUGUCUCAGCUCACUGUAACCUCCGCCUCCCGGGUUCAAGCGAUUCUCCUGCCUCAGCCUCCCAAGUAGCUGGGAUUGCAGCCUGGAGUGCAGUGGCGCUAUCUGGGAUCACUGCAAGCUCCGCCUACCAGAUGCUGGUGAUUCUUGUGCCUCACCCUCCCAAGUAGCUGGGAUUACAGGCGCCCACCACCACGCUCAGUGGAAUCCCCCAAAGAAGGUAAAGGGAGCAAGCCUUCCCCACUGUCUGUGAAGAACACCAAGAGGAGGCUGGAGGGCGCCAAGAAAGCCAAGGCGGACAGCCCCGUGAACGGCUUGCCAAAGGGGCGAGAGAGUCGAAGUCGGAGCCGGAGCCGUGAGCAGAGCUACUCGAGGUCCCCAUCCCGAUCAGCGUCUCCUAAGAGGAGGAAAAGUGACAGCGGCUCCACAUCUGGUGGGUCCAAGUCGCAGAGCCGCUCCCGGAGCAGGAGUGACUCCCCACCGAGACAGGCCCCCCGCAGCGCUCCCUACAAAGGCUCUGAGAUUCGGGGCUCCCGGAAGUCCAAGGACUGCAAGUACCCCCAGAAGCCACACAAGUCUCGGAGCCGGAGUUCUUCCCGUUCUCGAAGCAGGUCACGGGAGCGGGCGGAUAAUCCGGGAAAAUACAAGAAGAAAAGUCAUUACUACAGAGAUCAGCGACGAGAGCGCUCGAGGUCGUAUGAACGCGCAGGCCGUCGCUAUGAGCGGGACCACCCUGGGCACAGCAGGCAUCGGAGGUGAGGCGGGGUUGCAGUGACUGGUGGCCGCAAGCCCUUCCCUGGGGAGUACCUGAUGGCUGCCCUUUGACCCCCGGUGGCUGCCCUUUGACCCCCGGGUGUGCUCUCUCAGCGCAAGUGGCCCUAGAGCAGGAUUCUUUUUGGAAAUGUCUGUCGACUGGACCUUGGUGGAUUUGGAAAUGGAACUGAGGGACCGGUGACACGUGCUUCAGACCGGUCUGGGGUGCGGCGCACACCUGGGCCGGUGCGGGGCUCAGCUCGGCAGCAGCUCUGAGGGCAGCUCAAUGAAAAAGUGAAUGCACACGCCCUUGGUGGCGUGGCCUGGCAUGGCCUGGUGCUAUCGGCAGCCGCUCCCCACUCCCCGACUGAUACUCAAUUACGUGAAGCCAAGAAGGAUGAUUUUUAGAACCUUUGCCUAUAUUAGGUUGUACUUAUGUACAUAUUUUGCAGUGUUUCACAGGAGAAAGUGGCCUUAACUGCCCCUUAUUCUCUCUCCACGUUGUAAAUAAACAUGUGUUUAAUACAAGUUAAAGCUAUAUAUGAAAACUCAGAACUUGAAUCCUGUCAGCUUAAAACUUGUGUAGGGAAUCCUGACUUUUUAAAAUGUGAGGGUAUUUGGAUCUGUGUUGAAAGUCGUAUAUUUUUAUCUGUGCGGUGCUGAGUGCAGGCCACCAGCUCCUAAAUAGAGGUUCCCUAUAUGCGCGUAUGACAUGGUGAAUAAACACAACUCUCUCCACUC